CGUCCCGCCCGCCAGCGCCCCAGCGAGGAAGCAGCGCGCAGCCCGCGGCCCAGCGCACCCGCAGCAGCGCCCGCAGCUCGUCCGCGCCAUGUUCCAGGCGGCCGAGCGCCCCCAGGAGUGGGCCAUGGAGGGCCCCCGCGACGGGCUGAAGAAGGAGCGGCUACUGGACGACCGCCACGACAGCGGCCUGGACUCCAUGAAAGACGAGGAGUACGAGCAGAUGGUCAAGGAGCUGCAGGAGAUCCGCCUCGAGCCGCAGGAGGUGCCGCGCGGCUCGGAGCCCUGGAAGCAGCAGCUCACCGAGGACGGGGACUCGUUCCUGCACUUGGCCAUCAUCCAUGAAGAAAAGGCACUGACCAUGGAAGUGAUCCGCCAGGUGAAGGGAGACCUGGCCUUCCUCAACUUCCAGAACAACCUGCAGCAGGUGCACUCCACUCCACUUGGCUGUGAUCACCAACCAGCCAGAAAUUGCUGAGGCACUUCUGGGAGCUGGCUGUGAUCCUGAGCUCCGAGACUUUCGAGGAAAUACCCCCCUACACCUUGCCUGUGAGCAGGGCUGCCUGGCCAGCGUGGGAGUCCUGACUCAGUCCUGCACCACCCCGCACCUCCACUCCAUCCUGAAGGCUACCAACUACAAUGGUAUGCCACACGUGUCUACACUUAGCCUCUAUCCAUGGCUACCUGGGCAUCGUGGAGCUUUUGGUGUCCUUGGGUGCUGAUGUCAAUGCUCAGGAGCCCUGUAAUGGCCGGACUGCCCUUCACCUCGCAGUGGACCUGCAAAAUCCUGACCUGGUGUCACUCCUGUUGAAGUGUGGGGCUGAUGUCAACAGAGUUACCUACCAGGGCUAUUCUCCCUACCAGCUCACCUGGGGCCGCCCAAGCACCCGGAUACAGCAGCAGCUGGGCCAGCUGACACUAGAAAACCUUCAGAUGCUGCCAGAGAGUGAGGAUGAGGAGAGCUAUGACACAGAGUCAGAGUUCACGGAGUUCACAGAGGACGAGCUGCCCUAUGAUGACUGUGUGUUUGGAGGCCAGCGUCUGACGUUAUGAGCGCAAAGGGGCUGAAAGAACAUGGACUUGUAUAUUUGUACAAAAAAAAAGUUUUAUUUUUCU
rnacentral:lncRNA from 1 species